rnacentral:misc_RNA from 1 species
GAUGAAGAACGCAGCGAAAUGCGAUAAGUAAUGUGAAUUGCAGAAUUCCGUGAAUCAUCGAGUCUUUGAACGCACAUUGCGCCCCCUGGUAUUCCGGGGGGCAUGCCUGUCCGAGCGUCAUUGCUGCCCUCAAGCACGGCUUGUGUGUUGGGCCCCGUCCUCCGAUCCCGGGGGACGGGCCCGAAAGGCAGCGGCGGCACCGCGUCCGGUCCUCGAGCGUAUGGGGCUUUGUCACCCGCUCUGUAGGCCCGGCCGGCGCUUGCCGAUCAACCCAAAUUUUUAUCCAGGUUGACCUCGGAUCAGGUAGGGAUACCCGCUGAACUUAAGCAUAUCAAUAAGCGGAGGA